rnacentral:lncRNA from 1 species
AACAAAAGAAACCAGAUUUAAAAAUAGGCAAAGGGUUUGAAUAGAUAUAUCUCCCAAGAAGAUAUACAAAUGACCAAUAAGUACACAGAAAGACACUCAAUAUCAUUAGAAAAAAGCAAAUCAAAACCACAAUGAAAUGACACUUCAGAUCCAUUAGGAUGGCUAUUAUAUUAAUAUAUAUACAUAAAAACAAACAGAAAAAACAAAUGUUGGUGAGGAUGUAGAGAAAAUGGAACUCUCAUACAUUGCUAGAGGGAAUACAAAAUGUUGUAGCUGCUGUGGAAAAGUUUGGCAUUUCCUCAAAAAGUUAAAUGAAGAACUACCAUAUGACCCAGCAAUUCCACUCCUAUAUACAUACAGUACCCCUGAAAAAUGAAAGCACGGACUUGAACAUAUAUUUAUACACCCAUGUUUUUAGCAGUAUUAUUUGCAAUAGCCAAAAGGUGAAAACAACGCAAGUGACUAUCAACAGAUAAAUGAAGAAGGAAAACGUGGUAUUCAUAUACAAUGGAAUAUUAUUAUUCAGCCAUUAAAAAAUUAAAUUUUGAUAUAUGCCAUGUCAUAAAUAAACCCUGAAACCAUUAUGCUAAGUGAAAUAAGCCAGAAACAGAAGGACAAAUAUUGUAUGAUUUCACCUAUAUGAGGUACCUAGAAUAGACAAAUUCAUAGUGACAGAGAGCAGAGGAGAGGUUACCAGGCUGAGGGGAAAGAAGAAUAGGGAAUUACUGUUUAAUGUAUACAGGAUUUAUGUUGGGUAUAAUGAAAAAGUUUUGCAUGGUAGUGACGAUUACACAACAUUGUAAAUGGAAUUAAUGCUAGUGAACUGUAUACUUACAAAUGUUUAAACUGUUAGUAUAAUGUGCUAUGUAUAUUUUCAACUGUGGAGCUCUUUGAUUAAAAGGAGAGAUAAUUGGAUAUUACAUGCCUCUUGAUGUGAUACAAUAGGAAAUAUACGUGAUACAACAGGAAAUCACUGGAUAUUUAAUGAUAAUAAGAAAUUAUGGCUAAUUGUUUAGAUGUGAUAAUGACACUAAGGUUCUGUUUUUUUUAAAAAGUUAUUUUCAUUUAGAGAUUAUAUUAAAAAAUUUCCAGAGAAUAUAAAAAAUGAUAUAUGGGAUCUGCUUUAAAAUAAUUCAGUGAAUUGAAGGGAAUUAGAGUAUGGAUGAAGAAAGGGUAGCUUUCGGUUGAUAAUUGUUGAGACUGGUUGAUGGACACAUGGGUGUUAUUAUACCUUUCUCUUUGCUUUUGAAUAUGCUUGAAAUUUCCCACAGUCCAAAAAAAUUGAAAUGCACCUGAGAAAUGGUACUACAAGUGAGGAGAGACAGGGAGACUACUGUCAUCAUUUUAAACCAUUC